rnacentral:lncRNA from 1 species
GUUGCCGGCGGAGGCAUUUAGGUAGUGCACGGCGGCUGGGCGCCGGACCUGUUUGGCUGUGACGCCCACCCCCGGCUUUUAUCCGCCUAUGCCCUAGAGCUAGUGGAAGACCUAAGAUGGCGGCGUUUGCGCGGGGUGUAACCACUGCGUCCUUACGGGGGUUGCAAGGCGUCCGAAGUAUGAGUCCACUAACAAAAGUCCAGAAACUCGCCAGUUAAUAGUAUUGUGUCUCUUCAAAAUAUCGGAAAAUAAUUUCUUUCUCGCUGAUCGCCUAACUUCUACUGACGAGGCUAGGAAGUUGCAGAAGAUGGAGUUCACUCUUGUUGCCCAGGCUGGAAUGCAAUGGCAUGACCUUGGCUCACUGCAACCUCUGCCUCCCCAGUUCAAGUGGUUCUCCUGCCUCAGCCUCCCGAGUAGCUGGGAUUAGAG